AUGAACCAAUCAGUAGGAUGCGGCUGUAUCAGGGUUCUGGAAUGCAGAUGCUCACUAUACUUCUUGAUAUAUUCAUGGGAAAAGCUAACUUCCUGUCAUUUCUAUGUUCUAGAUGAUGAAACAUGCGUGGGACAGCUACAGGCAAUACGGCUGGGGCCACAACGAGCUCAAACCCAUCGCCAAGAAAGGACAUUCCACCAAUAUCUUCGGGUUCUGCUGGGAUUAAACUUUUAAUAGAUGAGAAGAUGCCAAGCGCAAGUGGGAAAUCACACGAAUUUGGUUCUGUGCAGUCCACCAGGAAUGCACAUAAGCCCUUGACAUAAAGCAGAAGACCUAGAAACAAAAGAAAUGGAAGAUGGAGUUUAACAGGAAGAAAUAAUGAAAAUGAAAGUCGUAGCAUAGCUAGCAGUAUUGGGCAAGCUGCUUAUACCUUGACAGCAAUUAAUACAGACAAGACACACUUUUGAAAAUAUAGCAACACUUCAAGCUAAAAUUCAUUUUAUUUGACUGUAUUUAUAAUUUUUUUAUUUAUUUAUAAUUGUUUAAUUUGCUAGAAAAAGUUUUAGAAUUUUUAUGUUAAUGUAAAAAAUCUUAGUAUAGUGUAGUAUAACUUGUUUGUUUGUUUGCUGGU
rnacentral:lncRNA from 1 species